AGGGGUUGGAGAAUGAAACUGAAACACCUGGUUUUAGACCACAAUAAUUUAUUGUGGUGACGGACAGUUCUGGUGGAAACAGGAGAGUUGAGGUGCACAUUGAAUUCUGCCGUGAUUUGAUCAGCCGUGGUUUUAUGUUUUUUGGAUACAAUCCGGGUUAGCACCCGAACAUCCCUUUCAGACAGCUUCCUCUUAC